CAUUUGUUAAAAUCUAAACUGGACAUGUGAAGGCUUUUUUUCUCUGCAUGCUCUUUGUUCUUCUAACAAAGACAGCUAUUUGACACUCAUCUCCACAGGGGGUCACCUCACACAAACUCUAAGGUAAGUCCUACAUUCUCUCAGAGUCUUUCUCUUUCCUGCUGGACCUGGAACAGCCCAGAUGCUCAGACCCUUGCUCCUUGCCCUGAACCAUCAAAGGUGGGGCAAUUGAUCACAGACUCUCUAAACCUGAACUAGAGAAGUUUGUAAGUGUGGCAGUAUAGAGACCUGUGGGUUGCCAUGCCUAAUUGGCAAUGGCACAGCCAACCACCGGAGGCGCACCCACCUAUAAAAGGGGCGAUCCCCCCCCCCUGCCAGUUCUCUCUCUCUCGCUGCUUCCGACGGGUGACGUCAUUUCCGAGCCGGACGUUUUGCUUCGGACAGGUAACGCGGCUUGUCUGCUCACCUGCUGCUUUCGGCUCAUGUGGCAGGGAGCUAAUGAUUUUGUGUUGUGUUGCAGAGUGGCUGACUUGGUGCUUCCCAGGCUCGUGUGUGUGUCACCUAAAUGGCCUGCUGUGUUGCUGAGGUCCGGUGGUGGUGUUGGUGACCUGGUGGCGGGGUUCCCCCCCCUUUUCGUGUGCUGUGCUCCCCUGGGUUCUGGGUCUCCUCACUGUGUGCGUGUGUGACUGUCACGAGUGUCUGGGUGCUUAUAUUUUUGGUUGGGGUUUCUCCACACCAUCAAUAGCCUCUUCACCCCGGUAAGCCUCAGCCCUAGUUUAGUCCCCCAUUUAUUUGCCCCUGUGUAACUGGUGUUUUAUUGUUUUAAAUUGUCUUUUUGUAAUAAAGCAUAUGCCUUUUUUUAGAAACAA